rnacentral:rRNA from 1 species
AGAACGAACGCUGGCGGCAUGCCUAAUACAUGCAAGUCGAACGAGACCUUCGGGUCUAGUGGCGCACGGGUGCGUAACGCGUGGGAAUCUGCCCUUAGGUACGGAAUAACUCAGAGAAAUUUGUGCUAAUACCGUAUGAUGUCGAAAGACCAAAGAUUUAUCGCCUAAGGAUGAGCCCGCGUAAGAUUAGCUUGUUGGUGAGGUAAAAGCUCACCAAGGCGACGAUCUUUAGCUGGUCUGAGAGGAUGAUCAGCCACACUGGGACUGAGACACGGCCCAGACUCCUACGGGAGGCAGCAGUGGGGAAUAUUGGACAAUGGGCGAAAGCCUGAUCCAGCAAUGCCGCGUGAGUGAUGAAGGCCUUAGGGUUGUAAGGCUCUUUACCAGGAUGAUAAUGACAGUACCUGGAGAAUAAGCUCCGGCUAACUCCGCGCCAGCAGCCGC